CUCGGGGGUCGCAACACAGCCUCAGGACCGCGGACUGAGGAAAAACACAUUCACACAGAGCGGACAAAAGGCUUGUUUGUGUGGCAGAGCACCCCACAUCUCUGUUCGUCUGACGGGAAUCAGCAAGGACCUGGGAGCCUUCUGAUCACGGAUACAAAUACAUAAUACAACAAGGAGCUCUCAUCGCAGCCAGAGUCGGCAGAUGUUGUGGGAUGUAUCGAUCUGAUCCACGCGCUCACCUGUUUGGUCGCACGGAAGCUCGUGCCCUGCACAUCUGGAGCCAAAGUGAUGCUACACCGACCGUGCUUGUUCCCACAUGUGGAUGUUUUUCAGCCGCUUUGGUUGCAGGAGCCGUCCUGCACAAUGGAAACCUCAGAUUUCCCUUUGGUUCUUGUAGCAAACAGCAGAGCCUGUUCCUUUCUUUGGUUAUCUAGCUGUAUGAGUGUUAAUCAUCCAUCAUAAAGCUAGAUAACCGAAAGUAGGAAUGACCUCCAAAUCCUCAACAUCGUCAAUGAAAUGAAACUCAAAGAAAACACAGAUAGAAGAGGAUAUGAAGUGUCUGCAGAAAAGGACCACGAUAAUGAUGGUGCUGCCACCAUGUUGUGGAGGAUCUUCAGAGCUUGUGUCACUGUGUUAAUUACAUGGAUUCAUCGAACAGGACAUGGGCUUUUGUCUCUGUGCAAUUAGGAGACUGCUAGGAAAUAUUCUCUCCUGCAUGUCAAGUGUAAUAACUCAGUACAGUUUUAACCACAGUUGAUAAAAAAAAUUCUAGUCUGUCACCAGUACUCUGCAUAAAAACAGUCGUUUUAAGAGUGAUUUUUCAUACUUUAAAAGAUAUUUCUUCAUACUUGUAUUUGAGUGUUUUUUUAUUUUAGAGAUUUUAGGCUGAUUUCUGAAAAAUGAACAAAAAUGCUGAUGGACUUUAACUGAAAUGUCAUCUUUGAAUUUUGUCCCAGCUGGCAUUUUUAGCAGCUGGAUUAUUAGUUGAAGGCAUUAAAAACAAAAUAUUGGAAGGGUGUUAAUUUCAUUCAUAUACUUGGCAUUUGAAUUUAUCAGAACAAACUGAAUGAAAUGUGUUUUGUUAUUAUUUAAUAAAAUCAUUC